rnacentral:rRNA from 1 species
UAGGGAAUCUUCCACAAUGGGCGCAAGCCUGAUGGAGCAACACCGCGUGAGUGAAGAAGGGUUUCGGCUCGUAAAGCUCUGUUGUUAGAGAAGAACGUGCGUGAGAGCAACUGUUCACGCAGUGACGGUAUCUAACCAGAAAGUCACGGCUAACUACAUGCCAG